rnacentral:rRNA from 1 species
UAAAAGGGGAUUCCUUUAAGUAACGGCGAGUGAACCGGGAUGAGCUCAAAUUUGAAAUCUGGCGUCUUUCAGGCGUCCGAGUUGUAAUCUAUAGAGGCGUUUUCCGCGCCGGACCGCGUCCAAGUCUCUUGGAAUAGAGUAUCAAAGAGGGUGACAAUCCCGUACUUGACGCGACAACCGGUGCUCUGUGAUACGUUCUCAAUGAGUCGAGUUGUUUGGGAAUGCAGCUCUAAAUGGGUGGUAAAUUCCAUCUAAGGCUAAAUAUUGGCGAGAGACCGAUAGCGAACAAGUACCGUGAGGGAAAGAUGAAAAGCACUUUGGAAAGAGAGUUAAACAGCACGUGAAAUUGUUAAAAGGGAAACGAUUGAAGUCAGUCGUGUGGGAAGUAUUCAGCCGUCUCUGGCGGUGUAUUUGCUUCUCACGGGUCAACAUCAGUUUGAUCCGGUAGAAAAAGGCGGGAAGAAGGUGGCACCCUCGGGUGUGUUAUAGCUUCCUGUCAUAUGUGCCGGACCAGACUGAGGAACGCAGCUUGCAGCAAUGCCGGGGUUCGCCCACGUACAAGCUUAGGAUGUUGACAUAAUGGCUUUAAACGACCCGUCUUGAAACACGGACCA